GCCGGGAUAGCUCAGUUGGUAGAGCAGAGGACUGAAAAUCCUCGUGUA
rnacentral:tRNA from 1 species